GAGAGAGAGAGGGAAAUGUCACCCGGAGCCCGGGCCCGCGGGGGAGAGGUGGCGCGUUAGAGAUGUGUGUGGGAGAGAGGGAGCGAGAGAGAGAGAGAGAGAGAGAGAGAGAGAGAGAGAGAGAGAGAGAGAGGGGGAGCGAGACCUCCGCUGGCCCCGCGAACUUGUCAAGUACAAAGCACCAAGCUUUUAGGCUCAAAGAGCUUAGACCAUCAUGGCUACAAAAACUACUGCGGCUCAGAGAGUAUGUAAUUCUGGAGCUCCUUAAGUAAAAAAGUAGUGCGAUGCAACAUCAGAACAGUGGCCAAGUGAUCUUCUCCACAGCACCCAUGAACUUCAACCUUGAACUGAAGAAGACUCAUCAAAUGCCUUAGGAAAGACAGUAUGGAGUUGGAAGAGAAGCAGGGAUCUACAUGAAGGGCAGUCAGUUAUGGUCAUGGUGUGUGGAGGAACAGGUCCUGUUCUCGCUGUUGUUACUCCCACAUAGACAGACUCUGUAAUUGAUUAUGUGUGGGUAGGGCCCUAUUGAAAUUCAGGAGAUUCUGCAGUAGUGCAGGGUUCUUUUUGUGAAAGCUCAUUUGCAAGAUCAGGACCCUACUGUGACUCCUUACUGUGCAUUCUGUCACUGUCUCAUUGAUUGUACUGGAACCUGCCUAUUGGGAUAACUACCAAAUACUAUAUUCCUCAAAACUUCUUAAUGGCACUGAGGCUUUGUGGAUAGUUGGUCACAUGAUGAGAAAAUCCAGCUGUAAUUCACCAUGGGACCCUGAAGUUCUUCCCUACUGCAAUUAGGUCUACUUUGCCUGUAGUGCUGAGCUGUUGUGAUAGUUUGAUUUUUAUGAUUUGCAUCAAGUGUGAAGCUUUCAAAGCCAUGUGUCAAAGGUAAGUUAUUUCAGUAAUACCGUUAUUUGUAUAUGUCCCUAAAAAUAUUGUAUGUUUAUGGGAGAAGUUUUCAUCACUUUAUUGAAGACUCAGCUCUGUUGAAAAAUCACAGUCCUGAGUAAAAGAUGUUAUGAAGCAGUAGAAACUCCUGCAGUGAGCUCUGAGAGAGAUUUUCUCCCAGUGUUUGCCAAUGUAGUGAGGAAGUGUGCGUACUGCACCAGCUUUUAAAAUAGUGCAACCUGAUCCUUUCUUUACAGCUCAGAGGGUGGGUGUGGGGAGUGAAGGUGAAAGAAUAGGAGUCCAUAUCCUUCUCCUCCUUAUUUUGGGUCUGGUUUUCCCUAUUGAGCAAAGAGGGCAUUAAUUGUGCAGGACUAUUAUGAGAAAGGACCCUUUGCUCCCACUCUUCACAUUUCUUGUGACAUAGGCCAGGUUUAAUCUAGUCCGUGUUAGGAGAAGCUAAGUACACUUUGCAGUGUCAUAAUGAGCUUCCCCCUCAUUUUCAUUUUCCCUCAAUGGUAUGUAAAUCAUUGCUUGUAAGAGGUAAAAAUCUGUAGGAGUUAUGAAACCAAAGUGAUUGCACUAAUGUGGAGCUCCUUCCACUUAGCCAAGAGUGUUUAUCGCUCUCCUUAAUACAAUAAAACCAAGAUGAAAUAGACUUCAAAACAAAAGAGACCAUCUAAUUUUUCUUUAUCUAACUAAUAAAAGUAAAAUUGACAAACUAAUGUAAAUUACUAACCAAAUCUUUAAAAACAGGGAUGGACAAUGUGUAAAUCAGGAAAUCGUUUUGCUCAGAGUUUCACUUGUGUGUAGGGUUUUAAAAGUUAUCCAGGUAUAAGAGUUUAUAGAUUUAACUCAGAAAGACUACUGAAAUUAAUAUUCAGUCAGUAGUUGCGACAGCCAAUCAGUACACUGUUGUACAGUGGAAUCUUUGUGAAAUUUAUUGUUUUAUAAAAAAGGAUGUUCAUGCAAAUAAAAUAUUCAGACAGAAAUGAGGAUACUAAGAGUCCCUAAAAAGCACAGUGGUCUCAACAAUCUGUUUUUCCAGCUAGUGUUGCCUAGUUUUCAGCGUAUUUAUUUUUCACUUCUUUGUGGAGUCUAAAGGCAUAUUUCUCAUCUGGUGAACUACUGCAUUCCUAGUUUCCAUUCAUCAAAGUAUUCAUUUGUACCUGUAAUCCAUGCUAAGAACACUUUUUUUGGUCUUUGCUAGGUGUAUCUUGUGUAGACAUUAUGUCCAUGUUUUGAAGUGAUGCCCUGAGUAGCUAAUAUCAUCCAUUCAUAUGUUGUAUUCAGAAUGCUAACUGUACAUGUAAAAAAUUCUAAUGAAAACUACUACAGCAAUUUAAAAUAUUCAUAAGAAUAUGUUACUUUUUUAUCAAACAUUAAUGCCAAACUUGAAAACUGUUCUAUUAGAUAUCCAUCAAUAUAGUUAGAGGGUAAGACCCAGAAUCUAAAAGUAGGUCCAAGAGAAGGAGCUGAGGAAAACAAUACUGCUUGUUUCCAGAUACUAGAAAUGAAACCUGCAUAAGGGUUUAUCCAAGAAUGUUAUCAGUUUUCAGUUAGAAGUACCAUGCCACCACUGGCUAACUGCUGGAAGGAAGAGAGAGUUUUCCUUUCUUAACCACUUUCCAUAAAACACCAGUUACUAUAAAAGGAUAGCUGGAGCUGUUCUUUCUUCCUGUGCCUCAGGCUCCAUUUUUUAGAACUUUUGUUUUCUCACCCUGUAUCUUAUCCAUUGUAAAUAACUACUGCACUUUCCUGCUGUUAGUAGUACUGUCAUAUGGCUGCAACAACAUAAAAUGGACAUUUUGGACAACAUAAGAGCUGGGUAGAGGCUUCUAAAAAGCAGUAACUGGACUUGCAGUCUUGUUAGUUAUGCAUGGCUGCUGCUUGUUAAAGUGCUACUGUGCAAAAGCUGAAACACUGGAACUGCCUGCUGGCAUAACCAGGAAGACUGUGCUGUCUGAAUCAGUGAAAUUUCCAAAUGUAAGUUAGUAACACCCUCCACAAAUGAAAAGAUGGAAAUGUGUCUAGAGUUUUAAACGAAAGCUAUAGAAAUCCAUAGCAUAGGCCUUUAUGGUGAUCAGAGAAAACUGCUUGUUAUCAUUAGGAAUUAUAGGGCUGCAUUUAAAAAAUAAAAAAGACCUGGGAUCUGAUAUACAGAAUAAGACUACAAGAAGAAUAAAAGAUAUUAAAAAGUAUUAGACAUCAAACAGUACAGACAGACUGGUCACAUAUACAGUAAUACAGCAGUAGUCAACUGAUAAUCUUUUUCAAGUGUGAAAAAAGGAAAGGAAGGGUCAUUCAGCUAAUCACGUGCUAAAUUACUUCUUUAUGUACUUCAAACAUCAAAAGAAAAGCAGAGUUAGAUAAAUUAACAACAAACAAGCCUUAUUUUUAUAAACACAAAAAUUUAUGAUCUUGCAGACUUAAAAAGCCUUCAUACUGUAACAUAAAACUGAAUAAAAACUACAUACUCUACAUGCUAAAAUGCAAGUUUCAACACUGGUGAGUUAAUACAAAUUCACUCUUCUUUGAACUCUACUAGCCCAACUCUAAUCUCCAAUGGGUUUUGAAAGUUAAACCGGAAAGGACUAUCAGUGUGAGGAGGUAUGUUUGUGUGUGUGCAUAUACACACAGACACAUACACCUUGUUCCCUGAUUGAUAGAUUUAAGAUAUACAUAUCUUAAAAGAGAAAGUAGGUUGAUAUCUAAUACUUUUAUGUGUGGGAUAUUGAAUUGACAUUUGUUUAUUAUCUCUGGGAGUGUGACAGAUCUGUGGAACUACUAAUGCAAAUUCAAGGCCAGAAUUUAAGGGCAAAGUGGGUUGGGGUACACAGAAACUCAGCUCAUGUUGAUGGGAGUUGGCUCCAGUUUCUGUGCCUUAGUCAUGAAGCCAUGUCCCUACCCAAACUGCUUUUCCUAUCCACCUAAUACAUCUAGCCACCUUUGGUUUUCAGAGAACAGGCAGUGUUGGAGCUUGCUUUGUACCGUUGCCACUUUGAUUCUCUCUGUGACAAGCUGCAGAGCCACAGAAGCAGCCUGGCAGCACUCGAGCUCCAAGUGCAGCAGAAGUAGGGAGCCUUGGAGGAGCCAGUCACAGCUCUCGGUCACUGGCCAGCCCAUUGCUUGUAGAAGUUAGCAUGCUUAAAUUGACAUUGAUCCCUCAAGGGACUAGCUACCAGCUAAACAAAACUGGAGCACAGGGCUAGCCAAGCAUAGAUUCUCUGUGACCCUGUGUCAGGACCUGUCAUCCUGUUGUAAAAGCCAGCUAUGUUACCUCCUUGCCCUCUGAGACUCCCAGGGAAUCCCCAAGUAAAUGAAGAGGGGACUUAUUUACAUCUCCUUCAUGUCUCCAGCAAGUCUUUUUUUUUCUUUUUUCUUUUUUUCUUUUUUUAUUCCUUAAGAACAAAAAAACCCAAAACCAACCAAAAACCCAAGAGAUAAUGGAGUACUUUAAAAAGGCAUAUUUGUUCCCUUAUGAAGGCUUACUACAACAAAGCAAGAAUAAUUUGCUCUAUUAAUUAUAGAUUAUGGAAAAUGUGGAAGUAUCUCUGUGGUUAAAGAAGUGAGCAUACUGUCAUUGAUGGUAUCAUAACUGUUGUAUACAGCUGGGAAAGGCAGACACAUUGUAAUAUUACUGGUAGUUUAGAAUAUUUAGAAGCUAGGAGUUCUAUUAAGUCUAUUAAAUAUGCUGAGGGUAGAAACGCUCAUUUGCUUUUGCAGAGGAAAUAGAGCAAAGAUACACCGCAGCAGAGAAAGCUAGCAGGACAAAGGAGAUACUAUUGACUCAUUCCAGACUGCCGACUUAGCAGCUCAACUUUGUUUCCUUUUAACUUUUGUAACAGUAGGAGCUCAAAGCUUCUCAGUCUAUUUUCUGCACAAAUAGAAACACCCAGACUUCAAAAAGUAAUAUGCUUUGAAGAAACCCAAAGCAUUAACACAUUAAAAACUGUGUGUACUAUUAAACAGGGAUUCGUGGUUACUUGAAUUUUGCAGCAAGUAGAUGCUGGUGUUUUGGUGGUAAUUUUUACACUGCUGCAUUCCGGCAGACAAUUCUUGACAAAUAUCAAUUUGUAAAAGCACUUUUUGUUGGUUUUAGUGUGACACAGUUUUAUUGACUUUGCAGUGGGUAAGUACUGCUUCAAUAUUUUCACAGGCUGAGUAAACCCCACAGACGCUUUUCCCCAGCCCAAUGGCAUAUUGCAACAAGUUGCUAACCUUAUAACAUUACACUUGUAACGCUGGGGAAAGCAUACGAUGUGUGAAAUUUAAAUUUUGUCCUCGCCACUUAAGUCU